UACGUAGGGUGCGAGCGUUGUCCGGAUUUAUUGGGCGUAAAGGGCUCGUAGGCGGCGUGUCGCGUCGGGAGUGAAAGCCCGUUGCUUAACGGCGGGUUGGCUUUCGGUACGGGCAUGCUGGAGUGCGGCAGGGGAGACUGGAAUUCCUGGUGUAGCGGUGAAAUGCGCAGAUAUCAGGAGGAACACCGAUGGCGAAGGCAGGUCUCUGGGCCACUACUGACGCUGAGAAGCGAAAGCAUGGGGAGCGAACAGG
rnacentral:rRNA from 1 species